GCACCUUUAGCUCAGUUGGUAGAGCAGUGGCCUGAAGAGCCAUGUGUCGCUGGUUCGAUUCCAGCAAGGUGCACCA
rnacentral:tRNA from 1 species